UCCCCAGUGAUCCAGCGGCUGAGACUCUGCACUCCCAAUGCAGGGGGCCCAAGUUUGAUUCCUGGUGGGGGAA
rnacentral:tRNA from 1 species